rnacentral:rRNA from 1 species
GACGAAGGGGGCUAGCGUUGUUCGGAAUUACUGGGCGUAAAGCGCGUGUAGGCGGUUGUUCAAUUCAGGUGUGAAAGCCUUGAGCUCAACUCAAGAAAUGCACUUGAUACUGGAUGACUAGAGGACCGGAGAGGAUAGUGGAAUUCCCAGUGUAGUGGUGAAAUACGUAGAGAUUGGGAAGAACACCAGUGGCGAAGGCGGCUCACUGGUCCGGUACUGACGCUGAGGUGCGAAAGCGUGGGGAGCAAACAGG